GGUGUUAGAAGCAGGGUGGUGGAGGCCAGACUUCAGCAAACUCCGGGAGGAAGGCAUUGCUGGUUUGUUCUGCGUGAGCAGAAGGAGGAUACACAAAUUGAGAACAAACGGUGCUCUUGGAAAAGAGAAUGUCUGAGCUCAGGGCUUCACCACCCACUGUGCUAGAGGCUGAUGGAAGCUCCUGAAGGAAAAGAGGGUUUACUCCGAGGGAGCUUAUGGGGAGGCAGGGAGCCUGGAGCUGGACUGCACCCUGGGCCUCUCCUGCUGUGCCGCAGAGCCGCCUCCCCACAUCAGGCCCUUGCUCUGCCCCUCGCCCCCAGUACCUCAUUCCCACCUCUUCUGUGUGAGGCCUUUCCUAAUCCCCCCCCCCCCCCCCGUGUCCUUCCUCCCAAACCACCUUGGAUUUCACUGCUCUGUGUGUGAUUGGUGUAUUAUGAUUCAUAAAUGUGCCCUGUCUCAGCCAUUAGAAUAUAAGGAAUCAUUUCAUGUUUUGUCUUCAUACCCUUGUGCCUGGCACACUGUAGGAGCUUAAUAAAUGCUGGUUGAUUGAUUG